AGUGAUUCUCCUGCGUCAGCCUCCCGAGUAGCUGGGACUACAGGCCCUGCAGAUCAAGCAGUGGGUACCGCGGCUGCUCUGGCUUCUCCUGGAAUCUCAGGUGCUCCCUCUUGUGGCUGUUCUCAGCCUAGACAACCAGAAAGCCGCAGAAAAGCACCAGCCAAGGCCGAGGCUGCGAGGGUGCUGGCGGGCAGGCCCAUCACGGGGCUGGCUGUCCUGGUCCGCGAUUCCUUGUCAGCCAUUUUCCUCAGGGGGAGCGGCAAACGCCAACCUGGACUGAACUCAUCUGGGGACAACCCUGGCUUGGAGGAGGGUCAUGUGGCUAUUUGCAGACUUUACUUCUCUUACUGUGAACACCCAUGUGCUCUGCUGCCUAAAACAUAACAUGUUUGACAAUGUGAUGCGGCCCAGACCUACCAUGGAUGCCAUGUCACGUACGUACUAUGCAUCCGACAACAGGGCCAGGAAGCAGAAGGUUCCGGAACACGACUUUCCCAGAGAGCUCAGAUAAGAACCCGUGGGCAUGUCAGCUCAUUCAGUCCUCAUGACCCCCUCCGCCCACCAUGAGGAAGGUCCAUUCUUUCUUCCUCAUUUAACAGAUGAGGAAAUGAAGGCACAGAGAGGUUAAGAAGCUUGUUCUCGGUCACACAGCUAGGACAGAGGUGGAUUUGAACCCAGGCAGUAUGGCUGGGGUUACCAUCCUGGCCUUUUUGAACAUGUCCGGGAGGGCAGGCCCUACCCAGCCACACAAUGCCCAGUAACUCCUGCGGGUGACCUGCCCUGCCUCGUGGAGACUCCGUUAUAUCUGGGCCACCAAGGCAGGGGUUAGAGGUCUGUGUGAGCCCAGCACUGAGGUUCUCUCUGGGUUGAACCCACCUCAGAGAUGUGCCUUGGGCAGGCCUGGCCUUCUGUAGAAGCUGUGAGGGUGAAGGUCUCCAGCCCUUAAAGAACUCUCCCCAACAAAAAAAACAGUCUCCUUCCCAGCUUGGGGCACUAUGUGCUCGGCUGUGGCAGCUCCGUCUGUUCUUCCCCGCCUGCCCCCGGGCACCCGCAGGGGCGCCCAUCAACUCAGGCAGCUCAAGCUGCAAGGAACAAAAGCUUCCCUCCAGGAGCCGGAGCUUGAGACUUCGCCCAGGUGGGGAGGAAGACGCAGCGAGACCUAAGCCUUCUUCCUCAGUUUUGUGUGGCAGCAAAGCUGGGUUCUGUGCUGGCGGUGGGCUCAGCACAAAUGCCCCUCCGCAUCACCCCACUUACAUCUGCAAUCCCCGGGCCCCCGUGGCCGCCCCCCCCACUUGCUUUGCUCCAAGGCACUUGGCACCUUCCAACAACCUAGAGCACAGAAGGACCUGCGCUGCUGGGGUCUCCCCCUCCCUCUCUGGACACUGAGCCUGAUGGGGCAGGGGUCUGUGUUCCCAGCGCGAACCCCCGGCAAAGUCCCAUACAGGGGGAGCUCAGGCAGGGUCAGCGGAGGGACCUGCGCCUGAAUCCCGAAGUUCCACUCUGACUCACACAGCCUGGGCCCCCAGCUCUGACAUGCCCCCUCUGAUGGGGGGCGUCUCAGCCCCAUUCCAUCCUCCUGCAGCUGAUGCACCUCCCAGCUUUCGGAGUGACUCCCUUCUUUCAAAUCCGAUGUCCCUGUCCUGCUCCUGCCAAAUCUGGCCCCCUCCAACGUGGUACCUAAGGGUCCAGAGUCGAGGGUCGCCUUUGCUGUGCCCUCGCACCCCCUGGGGGCGGGCCUGGGGCAGUGGGUCCCAAGCCUGUCAGGAUUGGGCCCACGCUACACCACGAUAAACGCUGGGGCCACCCAGGGCAGCAGGUGCCGCGCCCCAACUCCAUGAGGCCCUUGCUUUUCUCAGCGGGAAGUGACAGAAAACAUUAUUUUUCUAGUCAACCCAUUCGGAGAUGGAAUAGAACAGACAGCAACAUUCGCAUGAAAAUGUCACGAUGAAAGCACUGAGGACUCGCAGGACACCAGCGGCACUGGGGAGGUGCUUUUGAGCUUGGUCCCCCGCACCCCGGGGGUCCCCGCCUUCUCCCUCUGCCGCAUGAGAAACACUGGGGCCCAGGUGUUCUCAGCUCAUUUGUCGCCUUCCCCACCAUCUUAGAAAGCGACUGAGGUCUUUUGAAUUCCAGGGGCUGGUCUGAACCUUCCAAGAGCACAGAUUUUACUGACCUUAAGGCUCGGUGAACCCACAGCUGACAAAAGGUCAGCCCCUGCCCGAUCGCGAUGGCGGCCACCACAAGGCGGGGCUGAGCCAGUGGGCAGGGGUGGAGUGGGAUGGAGCGGGACCCCCGACUGACAGCCUCCCGUCCUACCUGCGGUGAGCCUCCUAGGCCAGGCUGCUCGGGGCUGUCCUGCUGCUGGACCGCCGGGGGCAACGGCACUCACGUCCCACACCGUUGCGGGUGG
rnacentral:lncRNA from 1 species